GAAUGAUGAGUAGACUAAAAAUUCAAAUCAAUUUCAAAAAAAUCUAAGGUCAAGAAGUCCACCUCGAUGCUUUAAUUCUUAUACCCCUCUGUUCGCUCUCCGAGCUCAGAUUCUAAUAAAAAUUGAAGGGGAGAGAAAUCUUCGAAGGUCUGGUCCUUCGAAGGCCCCUCCAGAGAAGAGAGACAAGCAAAAGUAUUACUGCUUCCAUAGAGAUCAUGGUCAUAACAUCGAAGAAUUCAAGUAGUUGUGGGAUG
rnacentral:lncRNA from 1 species